rnacentral:rRNA from 1 species
UACGUAGGGGGCAAGCGUUGUCCGGAAUCAUUGGGCGUAAAGCGCGUGUAGGCGGCCCGGUAAGUCCGCUGUGAAAGUCGGGGGCUCAACCCUCGAAUGCCGGUGGAUACUGUCGGGCUAGAGUGCGGAAGAGGCGAGUGGAAUUCCUGGUGUAGCGGUGAAAUGCGCAGAUAUCAGGAGGAACACCAAUUGCGAAGGCAGCUCGCUGGAACGUUACUGACGCUGAGACGCGAAAGCGUGGGGAGCAAACAGG